rnacentral:rRNA from 1 species
AAUUUUCGGCAAUGGGGGCAACCCUGACCGAUCGACGCCGCGUGAGUGAUGAAGGUCUUCGGCUUGUAAAGCUCUGUUGUAAGGGAAGAACCGUACCAGUAGGAAAUGAAAGGUACCUUACGGUACCUUACCAGCAAGCCACGGCUAACUACGUGCCAGCAGCCGCGGUAAUACGUAGGUGGCAAGCGUUAUCCGGAAUUAUUGGGCGUAAAGGGAGCGCAGGCGGCUUAUUAAGUCUGAGGUUAAAGUUCGGGGCUCAACCCCGUAAUGCCUUAGAAACUGCUAGGCUAGAGUGCAGGAGAGGUUAGUGGAAUUCCAUGUGUAGCAGUAAAAUGCGUAGAUAUAUGGAGGAACACCAGUGGCGAAGGCGGCUCACUGGCCUGUAACUGACGCUGAGGCUCGAAAGCGUGGGGAGCAAAUA